UGACUAGGUGCUCCUUCCCUGCGCAUAGUAACAUUCCAGGGAGCUGCCCGGGGAAGCUUAACGCUCGAUGCGGGUGGUAGGAAUGUAUCAUGGUGGGAGAGUCAUGGCAGCAGAAAGCUGGAACAGGACACUAAGUAAGAACACCUUCAACUACAAGCAGAAGUCAAGGAGAACUGAAAGUGGGUCCCUGAAGUCAGUUCUGGAAAACUGAGAAGAGUGCUGCGUGCAGAAUGCUUCGCUGGAUGUUUUUUUCCUCUAUUCUCACAGACAACUGGAACCUUGAGAGCCAAGGGAGAUUGUGGAGAGGAUGUGAGCAGAUGGCCGCUGAGGAUAGCUGACUGGGUGGGUGGGCUGGAACCUAGGCCAGGACCUGCCACCUGAGGAUUGUGCCUGCGAUGUCCAUAUGAUUGUGAACAGCUAAACAGGGAGCUCUGCUCUGUUGAAAAUCAUAAAGUUGAAAAUGAAAAGAGAUAAAGCCUUAAGCACAGAAGAAUAUUUUGUCUUUGGUGAAAAGAACAACUUAAGAUUAAUUUUAUUUUUAUGCUGUAUAUGCGUGUGGGUAUGUGCAUGCAAAUUUGGGUGACUCCAAAGGUCAGAGCAUCAAAUCACCUGGAGCUGGGAUUAUAGGCAAAUGAAAGCUGCCAAGCAUAGGAAUCUAACGAAUGUCCUCUGUAUGAGCAGAGAGUACUCCUAACUGCAGAGCCAUGUUUCCAGCUUAAGGAGGGCUUUUAGAAAGAAGAUUGAUAGAGAAUACAAACUUAAUAGUUUGAUGUACUAAAAAGGUUAA
ensembl:processed_transcript Eldr Egfr long non-coding downstream RNA